rnacentral:rRNA from 1 species
AUUGAACGCUGGCGGCAUGCUUUACACAUGCAAGUCGGACGGCAGCACAGAGAAGCUUGCUUCUUGGGUGGCGAGUGGCGAACGGGUGAGUAAUAUAUCGGAACGUACCGAGUAAUGGGGGAUAACUAAUCGAAAGAUUCGCUACUACCGCAUAUUCUCUGAUGAGGAAAGCAGGUGACCUUCGGGCCUUGCUUUAUUCGCGCGGCCGAUAUCUGAUUCGCUAGUUGGUGGGGUAAAGGCCUACCAAGGCGACGAUCAGUAGCUGGUCUGAGAGGAUGAUCCGCCAGACUGGGACUGAGACACGGCCCAGACUCCUACGGGAGGCAGCAGUGGGGAAUUUUGGACAAUGGGCGCAAGCGUGAUCCAGCCAUGCCGCGUGUCUGAAGAAGGCCUUCGGGUUGUAAAGGACUUUUGUCAGGGAAGAAAAGGCUGUUGCUAAUAUCAAUAGCUGAUGACGGUACCUGAAGAAUAAGCACCGGCUAACUACGUG